UACGUAGGGUGCGAGCGUUGUCCGGAAUUAUUGGGCGUAAAGAGCUCGUAGGCGGUGUGUCACGUCGUUCGUGAAAACCUGCAGCUUAACUGUGGGCGUGCGGUCGAUACGGGCAUCACUGGAGUUCGGCAGGGGAGACUGGAAUUCCUGGUGUAGCGGUGAAAUGCGCAGAUAUCAGGAGGAACACCGGUGGCGAAGGCGGGUCUCUGGGCCGUAACUGACGCUGGAGGAGCGAAAGCAUGGGGAGCGAACAGG
rnacentral:rRNA from 1 species